UGACCUUUACAUUGGUAGCAGCAGAUU
rnacentral:piRNA from 1 species